rnacentral:lncRNA from 1 species
CGCAGAGUCCCUGCGAGGAGAGCGGUUACUCUGCACGCCAGGAAAGCACCAGUACGGGUUUUGCAGAAAAAAGGAAGCGUGAGAGUCUGGGGAGCUUAGCGAUCUAGCGAGAUCCUAAAGAAGGGCCGGGAACAUAACUCAGUGCAAAGGCCCUGGGUUCAAGCCCCAGAGUGUGUGUGUGUGAGCGAGUGUGUGUGAACCAUAGUGCAUCACUCGCUCGGAUCUCCAGGGGAUCCCCCUGAGUGGGAAACGCCGACCCCAAAGUUUCGGUUCUGUACGAUCCAUUUCUGGAGAGGACGAGAUCGGAAAGGCGGAGCAGCCUUGCGCGGCCGGAGCAGGCAGUGCGGGGAGGGCUCGGUCUCCGACCCCGGGCCAGGCCCGGCCGCGAAGCCCUGCGGCGCUGUGCCAGACGCUCCCAUCGGGAGAGCAGAUAAAGGGACUUGGGCCACAAGGAAUCGUUUAGUCGGAACCUAAAGGCUCAGGCCCCCCUGCAGGCGAGCCCGCCUCCGCCCCUCCCCCCGUUCCCGGGUCUGCGCCUCGGUUGUGGAGCCCACUGGCUCGGGUCCUGGGACCUGCUGCAGCAGCACCACCUCAUGGCAGCGAGAGAAACCGCAGCUGGGGAGAGGCCCGCAGUAGCGGGGCUCGCGGCGGCAGUGCGCUAAGAGAACAGUAGAACUUCCGGCCGAGCUAGUGUUGCAAUCGCCGCAAGCACGACGUGGCCACGUUCAUAUCCUGAAUUUGAGAGGGACCUGCUAUCAGAUGCGAUGCAUCGUCUCCAGGGGCUCCCGGACCCCCACUUUUCACUUUAUUUUUAGCUUUGAAGAAAUGCAAGAACAGGAUCAGGUGUUCUAGGCAAGGCGUCAGGCAAGUGGGCAGCAAGGGAAUUGGAUCAUGGAAAUCAAGUUAGAAUGAAGGAAGACCAGCACAGCACGGUGGAAGAGGGGAGACAGGGAGAGACCUCGGAGAACGAACCCAGAGCCCUGAGCCCUCUGCAGGCGUGGUUGGGCUUAGAGUCCCUUUUCUAAAAUUUGUGUGUCAUUCAGAGGCUCGCACCUCUUUAAAGACUGUCUUUGCUCUGUUCUGCUAGUUUUGGAAAAUUUGCAAUUAAUUUUAGAAAAUUUGCAAAAGUACGCUUGCUGCCUGCCCUGAGUUCUUAAGGCCCGCUUCUAAGCCAUUUUUUUCUGAUUGUGACCCAUAGGUGGACCCCAACUUGGCUGAGAUGCAGGCUUUUUGUGUAUAAAAACUCCUAGACCAAGGGUUCCCAUGGCAGCCCCCUUGGGUCCCCUCCCUGGUUCAAUAACUGGGAGCUUUUUGCUUUCUGCUUUCACCCUACAAUAAAUACUGUUGCUCAGUUCUCUUUUGACUCUGCCUUGUGAUUCUUUCUGGGUUGAGAGAACCCACCAGCU